UACAGAGGUCUCGAGCGUUGUUCGGAUUCAUUGGGCGUAAAGGGUGCGUAGGUGGCUAGGUAAGUCGGAUGUGAAAUCCCGGGGCUCAACCCCGGAACUGCAUUCGAUACUGCUUGGCUGGAGUACUGGAGAGGAGAUUGGAAUUUACGGUGUAGCAGUGAAAUGCGUAGAUAUCGUAAGGAAGACCAGUGGCGAAGGCGGAUCUCUGGACAGUUACUGACACUGAGGCACGAAGGCCAGGGGAGCAAACGGG
rnacentral:rRNA from 1 species